rnacentral:rRNA from 1 species
GAUGAACGCUAGCGGCAGGCCUAACACAUGCCAGCCGAGCGGUAUUUGUUCUUCGGACCAGCGAGAGCGGCGCACGGGUGCGGAACACGUGUGCAACCUGCCUUUAUCUGGGGGAUAGCCUUUCGAAAGGAAGAUUAAUACCCCCUAAUAUAUUGAGUGGCAUCAUUUGAUAUUGAAAACUCCGGUGGAUAGAGAUGGGCACGCGCAAGAUUAGAUAGUUGGUGAGGUAACGGCUCACCAAGUCAAUGAUCUUUAGGGGGCCUGAGAGGGUGAUCCCCCACACUGGGACCGAGACACGGACCAGACUCCUACGGGAGGGAGCAGUAAGGAAUAUUGGACAAGGGGUUAGCGCCUGAUCCAGCCAUCCCGCGUGAAGGACGACGGCCCUAGGGGUGGUAAACUUCUUUUGGAUAGGGAUAAACCUACUCUCGGGAGAGUAGCUGAAGGUACUAGACGAAUAAGCACCGGCUAACUCCGUG